AGCUCCAAUAGCGUAUAUUAAAGUUGUUGCGGUUAAAAAGCUCGUAGUUGGAUUUCUGUUCCAGACCGACGGUCCACCUCAUGGUGGCGACUGUCGGGCCUGAACAUUCGGUCGGUUUCCUUCGGGACGCUGUCGCGCGGUGCUCUUCGGUGAGUGUCGCGUGAGGCCGACAAGUUUACUUUGAAAAAAUUAGAGUGCUCAAAGCAGGCUUCUAGCCUGAAUAAUGGUGCAUGGAAUGAUGGAAUAGGACCUCGGUUCUAUUUUGUUGGUUUUCGCAACUCGAGGUAAUGAUUAAGAGGGACAGACGGGGGCAUUCGUAUUGCGACGCUAGAGGUGAAAUUCUUGGACCGUCGCAAGACGAACUAUUGCGAAAGCAUUUGCCAAGAAUGUUUUCAUUAAU
rnacentral:rRNA from 1 species